GACGAACGCUGACGGCGUGCUUAACACAUGCAAGUCGAACGGAAAGGCCCUGCUUUUGUGGGGUGCUCGAGUGGCGAACGGGUGAGUAACACGUGAGUAACCUGCCCUUGACUUUGGGAUAACUUCAGGAAACUGGGGCUAAUACCGGAUAGGAGCUCCUGCUGCAUGGUGGGGGUUGGAAAGUUUCGGCGGUUGGGGAUAGACUCGCGGCUUAUCAGCUUGUUGGUGGGGUAGUGGCUUACCAAGGCUUUGACGGGUAGCCGGCCUGAGAGGGUGACCGGCCACAUUGGGACUGAGAUACGGCCCAGACUCCUACGGGAGGCAGCAGUGGGGAAUAUUGCACAAUGGGCGGAAGCCUGAUGCAGCAACGCCGCGUGCGGGAUGACGGCCUUCGGGUUGUAAACCGCUUUCGCCUGUGACGAAGCGUGAGUGACGGUAAUGGGUAAAGAAGCACCGGCUAACUACGUG
rnacentral:rRNA from 1 species